UACAGAGGGUGCAAGCGUUAAUCGGAAUUACUGGGCGUAAAGGGCGCGUAGGUUGUUACGUAAGUGAAAUGUGAAAUCCCCGGGCUUAACCUGGGAACUGCAUUUUAGACUGCGUAACUGGAGUGCAAUAGAGGGUAGUGGAAUUUCCGGUGUAGCGGUGAAAUGCGUAGAUAUCGGAAGGAACACCAGUGGCGAAGGCGGCUACCUGGAUUGACACUGACACUGAGGCGCGAGAGCGUGGGGAGCAAACAGG
rnacentral:rRNA from 1 species